AGUGAACGCUGGCGGUAGGCCUAACACAUGCAAGUCGAACGGCAGCACAGUAAGAGCUUGCUCUUACGGGUGGCGAGUGGCGGACGGGUGAGGAAUACAUCGGAAUCUACUUUUUCGUGGGGGAUAACGUAGGGAAACUUACGCUAAUACCGCAUACGACCUACGGGUGAAAGCAGGGGAUCUUCGGACCUUGCGCGAUUGAAUGAGCCGAUGUCGGAUUAGCUAGUUGGCGGGGUAAAGGCCCACCAAGGCGACGAUCCGUAGCUGGUCUGAGAGGAUGAUCAGCCACACUGGAACUGAGACACGGUCCAGGCUCCUACGGGAGGCAGCAGUGGGGAAUAUUGGACAAUGGGCGGGAACCUGGUCCAGCCAUACCGCGUGGGUGAAGAAGGCCUUCGGGUUGUAAAGCCCUUUUGUUGGGAAAGAAAAGCAGCAGGUUAAUACCCCGCUGUUCUGACGGUACCCAAAGAAUAAGCACCGGCUAACUUCGUG
rnacentral:rRNA from 1 species